CUUUCAUUCAUUGAUAGCUUCGAGAAACUUUCAGGUUUCCUCACUGUGAAUUAUGAAUAUGAACUAUAUUAAAAUUACUGUAACCCAAUGUGCUUCAUGCACUAUCUGGCAUCCAAAGGAUCCUCUUUCGCCCAUGUUGGGGUUUUCGAAACUGGAAAGAAGACUGAUUUCUGCAGAAUCGACUCAAGGCAAGAUGCAGUAGAGAAAUGUAAGAGCCAACUAGAGGAGCCAUUUAACUACUAGGUGCAUCUUCUCCAGCAAGUUCUUCAGCAUCCUUUCCAGAAGCAUUCGACAGCCAAGGAAGCAGGCUACGCCUCACCUACUCCUUCCUGGGCUAAAGAUCUCAGACUUAGUUGCUUAAUUUGGGAAAAAUAAAUUAAAGAAGUCUUCUAUCAUUAUACGCAACAUAGAAUAAUCUGUUUAAGAAAUUAUUUUUGAUCCUCCACAUUUUGAUGCCAAUCCCACAUUUGGUAAUAAUGAUUAUAUAUGCAAAUAUUUUUAGCCGAUUAAAUUGGAACAUAUUCUUUGAAACAACUUCAUGAUGAUUUUUGUUCUAAUCAGUAAGUUUAAUGGAAUAAUAAGGUAUUUUUGAUAAAGCACGUGAGUUAUUCUCAAUGAUUACAAGAUCUUACGACAUUGUAAUCAAAAUGGAUCAUUAGAGCCUGGCUUGGUGGCUCAUGCCUGUAAUCCCAGCACUUUGGGAGGACGAGGGAGGUGGACCACCUGAGGUCAAGAGUUCAAGACCAGCCUGGCCAACGUGGUGAAAUCCCAUCUCUACUAAAAAUACAAAAAAAAAAAUUAGCUCGGUGUGGUGGCGGGCACCUGUAAUCCCAGCUACUUAGGAGGCUGAGGCAGGAGAAUUGCUUGAACCCCGGAGGCAGAGGUUGCAGUGAGCUAUGAUCACGCCAUUACACUC
rnacentral:lncRNA from 10 species